rnacentral:rRNA from 1 species
AUUGAACGCUGGCGGAAUGCUUUACACAUGCAAGUCGAACGGCAGCUCGGACUUCGGUCUGGUGGCGAGUGGCGAACGGGUGAGUAAUGUAUCGGAACGAGCCCAGUCGUGGGGGAUAACGUAGUGAAAAUUACGCUAAUACCGCAUACGAUCUAUGGAUGAAAGCGGGGGAUCGCAAGACCUCGCGCGAUUGGAGCGGCCGAUAUCAGAUUAGGUAGUUGGUGGGGUAAAGGCCCACCAAGCCAACGAUCUGUAGCUGGUCUGAGAGGACGACCAGCCAAACUGGAACUGAGACACGGUCCAGCCUCCUACGGGAGGCAGCAGUGGGGAAUUUUGGACAAUGGGCGAAAGCCUGAUUCAGCCAUUCCGCGUGCAGGAUGAAGGCCCUCGGGUUGUAAACUGCUUUUGUACAGAACGAAAAGGUUUCUACUAAUACUAGGAGCUCAUGACGGUACUGUAAGAAUAAGCACCGGCUAACUACGUGCCAGCCGCCGCCGUAA